rnacentral:rRNA from 1 species
AGCAGUCGCCGCGGGAAUACGAAGGGGGCUAGCGUUGCUCGGAAUGACUGGGCGUAAAGGGCGCGUAGGCGGUUUUGACAGUCAGAUGUGAAAUUCCUGGGCUUAACCUGGGGGCUGCAUUUGAGACGUCAAGACUAGAGUGUGAGAGAGGGUUGUGGAAUUCCCAGUGUAGAGGUGAAAUUCGUAGAUAUUGGGAAGAACACCGGUGGCGAAGGCGGCAACCUGGCUCAUUACUGACGCUGAGGCGCGAAAGCGUGGGGAGCAAACAGGAUUAGAUACCCCCGUAGUCCCUGUCUCUUAUAC